UUUACCUUUCUCCUGUUUUUCCUCUGUCGCUCACUCUUAAAAUCUUAAAGUUAAAUGUUCCCCAAAAAUUUUGAUAAAAUUAAUUUUUGCUCUCUCACUCACUUGUUAACCCUAAUUCCUAGUUCCAUGCGGUAUAUCCCUUUUCUUCCCUCUUUUUUCUUUCUAUUUUGAUCCAUCUCUAUUGUUGCCACCCAUAGCCGCUCGCGAAAACAAGCUCAAUCGUUGCUACAUUAACAAAUUGCUUCUUCAGUUUCUUCUACUUCUUCAACUACAUGGGAAGUAGUUAACUUUCUCAUAAAGCCCUAACAAUAUUCACACAGUUUGAUUUUGGAAUAGUUCAAGGGAUCUAGUGGGAAGCAGUUAACAAUUUCAAGCAUUUGUAACUCAUUCCAUGUACAGAUCUGGGAAUUUCACAUGUUUCUUCAAUUUCGGCUACUUAUAACUACUGUUUGUUUGAAUUUGUUAAACUGCUAGGAAUUAGUUUCAAAUUUAUACUGAUUAUACUGAAAUCCAGUUGUUUACUGAGUCUAGCUUUUAUACUAAAAUAAGGAUUUAAUUGUUAAUUAUAUGCUCUAGUUGUAUAAUAUUCUGGAUGAAACUACAAAUUAUGUUGAAAUGCUUCUUUUUGCAAAAUAUUAGAAUUCUAGAACGGUUACUUUCGGUGAAUAUGAAGCUAGCUUGACGACUCAUGUUGGUUUGGUUAAAUACUUUGAAAUCACUUUUAAUUAUUUUUUAUGCUUUUUUUUUGUCUUUCGAGCCAAACAUGGUGUUGGAUUCGCUAAAGAGGUUUCAAGUGAAGAGUGUUUUGCUUGGUCGUAGAAUUUAUAUGAUUCUCUUAAGAAAGAGGAUGAAGGAUAAAGAUCAGAUUUUUAAAAUAUAUGGCUGGGCAGAAAUUUCUAAUCAAAGUAUGACGGACUUAGCAAACAUGGUGAAUUCAGAAUUAUCAAUGUUAUUGCACAAAUUACAUGGAGGUCAGUGGCAAAAAAUAUGGUAUUUCUUGUUUCUAAAGUUAUCAUAAACGAGGGUAUCUUAUCUAUACUUGGAUAUCACCACCCACAUUGAAAUGUUUUAACUAGCUUCGUAGAUGAGGCCGAUCAAGCAUCAGUUUAAAGAUAUUGUGUUUAUUAUACUUAUUAUUAUUCUUCCUACGAUAAACUAGAGAGAAAUCCAUUCAUUGUUUAACA